UACGUAGGGGCAAGCGUUGUCCGGAAUCAUUGGGCGUAAAGAGCGCGUAGGCGGCCCUGUAAGUCCGCUGUGAAAGUCAAGGGCUCAACCCUUGAAUGCCGGUGGAUACUGCAGGGCUAGAGUCCGGAAGAGGCGAGUGGAAUUCCUGGUGUAGCGGUGAAAUGCGCAGAUAGUCAGGAGGAACACCAAUUGCGAAGGCAGCUCGCUGGGACGUAACUGACGCUGAGACGC
rnacentral:rRNA from 1 species